AAGCGAAACGGAGGGCCGGGGAAGAAGCGGCCCCCGUCGCCCGGACGCGGCGUUCCGGGCCCGAUGAGCAAGCCGAAG
rnacentral:hammerhead_ribozyme from 1 species